AACGAACGCUGGCGGCAUGCCUAACACAUGCAAGUCGAACGAGACCUCCGGGCCUAGUGGCGCACGGGUGCGUAACGCGUGGGAACCUGCCCUUAGGUUCGGAAUACCUCCCCGAAAGGGGUGCUAAUACCGGAUAAUGUCUUCGGACCAAAGAUUUAUGGCCUUUGGAUGGGCCCGCGUUGGAUUAGCCAGUUGGUAGGGUAAAAGCCUACCAAGGAGAGGAUCCAUAGCUGGUCUGAGAGGAUGAUCAGCCACACUGGGACUGAGACACGGCCCAGACUCCGACGGGAGGCAGCAGUGGGGAAUAUUGGACGAUGGGCGAAAGCCUGAUCCAGCAAUGCCGCGUGAGUGAUGAAGGCCUUAGGGUUGUAAAGCUCUUUUACCCGGGAUGAUAGUGACAGUACCGGGAGAAUAAGCUCCGGCUAACUCCGUG
rnacentral:rRNA from 1 species